GCGCACCAGUCGAGAAAACUUUACAAUGUGCGAAAGCACGAUAAGGGAACUCUGAGUGCCUCCUAAGGAGGCUGUUCAGGUGUCUAAAAAGCACCUGGAGUAAGGGCUGGGUAAGACCGGUGCCAGCCGCCGCGGUAACACCGGCAGCCCAGGUGGUAGCCACUUUUAUUGGGUCUAAAGCGUCCGUAGCCGGUUGAGUAAGUUCCUUGGGAAAUUUGGCUGCUCAACAGUCAAGCUUCCAGGGAAUACUGCUCGACUUGGGACUGGGAGAGGUCAGAGGUACUCCAGGGGUAGGGGUGAAAUCCAUUAAUCCCUGGGGGACCACCGGUAGCGAAGGCGUCUGACCAGACCAGGUCCGACGGUGAGGGACGAAGGCUAGGGUCGCGAACCGGAUUAGAUACCCCUGUAGU
rnacentral:rRNA from 1 species